GCUGAACGCUGGCGGCGUGCCUAAUACAUGCAAGUCGAGCGAACAGGCGAGGAGCUUGCUCCUCUGACGUUAGCGGCGGACGGGUGAGUAACACGUGGAUAACCUACCUAUAAGACUGGGAUAACUUCGGGAAACCGGAGCUAAUACCGGAUAAUAUAUUGAACCGCAUGGUUCAAUAGUGAAAGACGGUUUUGCUGUCACUUAUAGAUGGAUCCGCGCCGCAUUAGCUAGUUGGUAAGGUAACGGCUUACCAAGGCAACGAUGCGUAGCCGACCUGAGAGGGUGAUCGGCCACACUGGAACUGAGACACGGUCCAGACUCCUACGGGAGGCAGCAGUAGGGAAUCUUCCGCAAUGGGCGAAAGCCUGACGGAGCAACGCCGCGUGAGUGAUGAAGGUCUUCGGAUCGUAAAACUCUGUUAUUAGGGAAGAACAAAUGUGUAAGUAACUAUGCACGUCUUGACGGUACCUAAUCAGAAAGCCACGGCUAACUACGUG
rnacentral:rRNA from 1 species